rnacentral:rRNA from 1 species
GAUGAACGCUGGCGGCGUGCUUAACACAUGCAAGUCGAACGGAAAGGCCUCUGCUUGCAGGGGUACUCGAGUGGCGAACGGGUGAGUAACACGUGGGUGAUCUGCCCUGCACUUCGGGAUAAGCCUGGGAAACUGGGUCUAAUACCGGAUAGGACAAUGGUUUGGAUGCUGUUGUGGAAAGUUUUUCGGUGUGGGAUGAGCUCGCGGCCUAUCAGCUUGUUGGUGGGGUAAUGGCCUACCAAGGCGUCGACGGGUAGCCGGCCUGAGAGGGGGUACGGCCACAUUGGGACGGAGAUACGGCCCAGACUCCGACGGGAGGCAGCAGUGGGGAAUAUUGCACAAUGGGCGCAAGCCUGAGGCAGCGACGCCGCGUGGGGGAUGACGGCCUUCGGGUUGUAAACUCCUUUCGCUAGGGACGAAGCGUUUUUGUGACGGUACCUGGAGAAGAAGCACCGGCUAACUACGUG